GAAAUGCGAUAAGUAGUGUGAAUUGCAGAAUUCAGUGAAUCAUCGAAUCUUUGAACGCACAUUGCGCCCUUUGGUAUUCCUUAGGGCAUGCCUGUUCGAGCGUCAUCUAAACCUUCAAGCCCUGCUUGGUGUUGGGUGCCUGUCCCGCCUCCGCGCGCGGACUCACCUCAAAUCCAUUGGCGGCCCCCGCGUCGGCCACGAGCGCAGCAGAAACGCGAACUCGUGAGCCCGUCCGGGCGGCUCCCAGAAGCUACACUCACCCAGUUUGACCUCGGAUCAGGUAGGGAUACCCGCUGAACUUAAGC
rnacentral:misc_RNA from 1 species